AACGAAACGCAGAAAUUUUUUCUGGAAGUCUCUCUCUCUCUUUGUUCGCCGGCUGCAUAACUCACCGACCAUGCCUCGCCGAAGCUCUGGAGGUAGACCUGCUCCUCGGGCCGCUGCCCGCCCUGCACCCACCACCCCAACCAGUUAACCAUGCUCCUCCUCCAGCUCCUGUUCAGAGUGGUGGUGGUGGUGGUGGUGGUGGAUCAUUGCUUGGAACCAUAGCUCAGGGCAUGGCUUUUGGCACUGGAAGUGCUGUGGCACACAGAGCUGUAGAUGCUGUGUUGGG
rnacentral:misc_RNA from 1 species